GGGGAAGUACUCAAGAGGCUGAAGAGGUACCCCUGCUAAGGGUAUAGGUCGCUCUUUGCGGCGCGAGGGUUCAAAUCCCUCCUUCUCCGUCA
rnacentral:tRNA from 1 species